rnacentral:rRNA from 1 species
GAUGAACGCUGGCGGCGUGCCUAAUACAUGCAAGUCGAGCGAACGGACGAGAAGCUUGCUUCUCUGAUGUUGGCGGCGGACGGGUGAGUAACACGUGGAUAACCUACCUAUAAGACUGGGAUAACUUCGGGAAACCGGAGCUAAUACCGGAUGAUAUUUUGAACCGCAUGGUUCAAAAGUGAAAGACGGUCUUGCUGUCACUUAUAGAUGGAUCCGCGCUGCAUUAGCUAGUUGGUAAGGUAACGGCUUACCAAGGCAACGAUGCAUAGCCGACCUGAGAGGGUGAUCGGCCACACUGGAACUGAGACACGGUCCAGACUCCUACGGUAGGCAGCAGUAGGGAAUCUUACGCAAUGGGCGAAAGCCUGACGGAGCAACGCCGCGUGAGUGAUGAAGGUCUUCGGAUCGUAAAACUCUGUUAUUAGGGAAGAACAUAUGUGUAAGUAACUGUGCACAUCUUGACGGUACCUAAUCAGAAAGCCACGGCUAACUACGUG